rnacentral:rRNA from 2 species
AAACCGUCUGGGAGUAAACGGGUGGUACCCGAAAGUUCGAAAGGGGAGAUUCAGGUCUCGCCGCGCGUCGGGCGGCUCCCGCGACCAGAGAUGGCGCCUUCGCGGCCCGGGGGCAACCCCGGGUCCGGAGGUGCCACUCCGCGGGCGCCGCCGGUCCCGGCGUCGGAGUGACGCACUUCUCCCCGAGUAGGACGUCGCGACCCGUCGAGCGUCUGCCUAAGGUCCCGGGUGGAGCCUGCGCAGCCUGCUCACGCCGGCUGCGCACGACCCCGGGAAUCCCGGCGGGGUGCACGACGGUACGAAGCGAGGAAGGAGUCGACGCGCCGCCCUCAUUCGGCGUCCGGCCCUCCGCAAGCGCCCGCGGGAGUCCGGGUUUCCGGACCUGGUCCGAUCCCGGACCCUCCGCGGGGCUGUUUGCGAUUCGGAGGUGUCCUCGGACGGCGUCGAUUCUCCAGUCGGCGACGCUUCAGCUUGGAUGGCCUACCCGA